rnacentral:rRNA from 1 species
GGAGUCAGUGUAUGAGGUGAUAACGUCCAUACGCGAGAGGAAAACAAUCCAGACCAUCAACUAAGGUCCCUAAAUAUAUGUUAAGUGGGAAAGGAUGUGGAGACGCACGAACAGCUAGGAGGUUGGCUUAGAAGCAGCCAUCCUUUAAAGAGUGCGUAAUAGCUCACUAGUCGAGUAUCUCUGCGCCGAAAAUGUACCGGGGCUAAACAUAUUACCGAAGUUAUGGAUUUAUAAUUUAUUAUAAAUGGUAGGGGAGCGUUCUAAGGGCGCUGAAGGUAGAUCGUGAGGACUACUGGAGCGCUUAGAAGUGAGAAUGCCGGUGUGAGUAACGUAAGGUAGGUGAGAAUCCUACCCACUAUUUGACCAAGGUUUCCAGGGUCAAGUUCGUCUUCCCUGGGUUAGUCGGGACCUAAGGCGAGGCUGAAAAGCGUAGUCGAUGGACAACAGGUUUAUAUUCCUGUACUGCUUAUAGGACUGAUGGAGUGACGGAGAAAGCUAGGAAGGGCCAGUUAUUGGAUUCUGGUCUAAGCGUUUAGGUUGAUGCACAGGAAAAUCCGUGAUAUCGAUAAGACUGAAGCGUGAUGGCGACGUGGUCUACGGACCGCUAAGUCUUCUGAAGCUAUGCUUCCAAGAAAAACUUCUAAAGAUAUGUUAUAAGUACCCGUACCUAGAACCAACACAGGUGGUCAAGGAGAGAAUCCUAAGGUGAGCGAGAGAACUAUGGUUAAGGAACUCGGCAAAAUUACCCCGUAACUUCGGAAUAAGGGGAGGUUUCUUCGGAAACCCGCAGUGAAUAGGUCCAGGCAACUGUUUACCAAAAACACAGGUCUCUGCUAAAGCGUAAGCUGAUGUAUAGGGGCUGACGCCUGCCCAGUGCUGGAAGGUUAAGAUGAUUUGUUAGGUGGACGAAAGUCGAUAACACCGAAGCUUUGAUUUGAAGCCCCAGUGAACGGCGGCGAUAACUAUAAUCGUCCAAAGGUAGCGAAAUUCCUUGUCAGGUAAGUUCUGACCCGCACGAAAGGCGUAAUGAUCUGGACGCUGUCUCAACCAUAGACUCGGUGAAAUCUUAAUACCUGUGAAAAUGCAGGUUACCCGCGACAGGACGGAAAGACCCCAUGGAGCUUUACUGUAGCUUGAUAUUGAAGUUAGGUAAUUUAUGUAGAGGAUAGGUGGUAGACUAUGAUGUAUGGACGCCAGUUCAUACGGAGUCGCCCUUGGAAUACCACCCUUAAAUUAUUUGACCUCUAACUUACUCCCGUUAUCCGGGAGGAGGACAGUGUCUGGUGGGCAGUUUGACUGGGGCGGUCGCCUCCCAAAGAGUAACGGAGGCGCUCAAAGGUUCCCUCAGAUUGGUCGGAAAUCAAUCAAAGAGUGUAAUGGUAUAAGGGAGCUUGACUGCGAGACCUACAAGUCGAGCAGGUGCGAAAGCAGGACAUAGUGAUCUGGCGGUAGAAU